CUUGACCGAGCCGAGCCGCAGCGGCCGGUUCGCGGUGCGGUCCUCGCCGUACACGGCGAUCAGGGCCUGCGCCUC
rnacentral:antisense_RNA from 1 species